GGGCUAAACCAUGCACCGAAGCUGCGGCAGCGACGCUGAUGCGUUGUUGGGUAGGGGAGCGUUCUGUAAGCCUGCGAAGGUGUGCUGUGAGGCAUGCUGGAGGUAUCAGAAGUGCGAAUGCUGACAUAAGUAACGAUAAAGCGGGUGAAAAGCCCGCUCGCCGGAAGACCAAGGGUUCCUGUCCAACGUUAAUCGGGGCAGGGUGAGUCGACCCCUAAGGCGAGGCCGAAAGGCGUAGUCAAUGGGAAACAGGUUAAUAUUCCUGUACUUGGUGUUACUGCGAAGGGGGGACGGAGAAGGCUAUGUUGGCCGGGCGACGGUUGUCCCGGUUUAAGCGUGUAGGCUGGUUUUCCAGGCAAAUCCGGAAAAUCAAGGCUGAGGCGUGAUGACGAGGCACUACGGUGCUGAAGCAACAAAUGCCCUGCUUCCAGGAAAAGCCUCUAAGCAUCAGGUAACAUCAAAUCGUACCCCAAACCGACACAGGUGGUCAGGUAGAGAAUACCAAGGCGCUUGAGAGAACUCGGGUGAAGGAACUAGGCAAAAUGGUGCCGUAACUUCGGGAGAAGGCACGCUGAUAUGUAGGUGAAGUCCCUCGCGGAUGGAGCUGAAAUCAGUCGAAGAUACCAGCUGGCUGCAACUGUUUAUUAAAAACACAGCACUGUGCAAACACGAAAGUGGACGUAUACGGUGUGACGCCUGCCCGGUGC
rnacentral:rRNA from 1 species